rnacentral:rRNA from 1 species
AACGAACGCUGGCGGCAGGCCUAACACAUGCAAGUCGAGCGAAGCCUUCGGGCUUAGCGGCGGACGGGUGAGUAACGCGUGGGAACGUGCCCUUUGGUACGGAAUAGCCCCGGGAAACUGGGAGUAAUACCGUAUGUGGUCGAGAGACGAAAGAUUUAUCGCCAAAGGAUCGGCCCGCGUUGGAUUAGGUAGUUGGUGGGGUAAUGGCCUACCAAGCCGACGAUCCAUAGCUGGUUUGAGAGGAUGGUCAGCAACACUGGGACUGAGACACGGCCCAGACUCCUACGGGAGGCAGCAGUGGGGAAUCUUAGACAAUGGGGGAAACCCUGAUCUAGCCAUGCCGCGUGAUCGAUGAAGGCCUUAGGGUUGUAAAGAUCUUUCAGUGGGGAAGAUAAUGACUGUACCCACAGAAGAAGCCCCGGCUAACUCCGUGCCAGCCGCCGUGUAAUAC